rnacentral:rRNA from 1 species
UACAGAGGGGGCGAGCGUUGUUCGGAAUUACUGGGCGUAAAGGGCGCGUAGGUGGCCUGCUAUGUCGAACGUGAAAUCCCUGGGCUCAACCCAGGAACUGCGUCCGAAACUGGCAGGCUCGAAUCCGGGAGAGGGAUGUGGAAUUCCAGGUGUAGCGGUGAAAUGCGCAGAUAUCAGGAAGAACACCCGUGGCGAAGGCGGCUCUCUGGGACGGUACUGACGCUGAGACGCGAAAGCGUGGGGAGCGAACAGG